rnacentral:misc_RNA from 1 species
AACUGCGAUAAGUAAUGUGAAUUGCAGAAUUCAGUGAAUCAUCGAGUCUUUGAACGCACAUUGCGCCCCCUGGCAUUCCGAGGGGCAUGCCUGUCCGAGCGUCAUUGCUGCCCUUCAAGCCCGGCUUGUGUGUUGGGUCGUCGUCCCCUCCGGGGGACGGGCCCGAAAGGCAGCGGCGGCACCGCGUCCGGUCCUCGAGCGUAUGGGGCUUUGUCACCCGCUCGAUAAGGACCGGCCGGGCGCCAGCCGGCGUCUCCAACCUUUUUUUCUCAGGUUGACCUCGGAUCAGGUAGGGAUACCCGCUGAACUUAAGC